rnacentral:lncRNA from 10 species
CUGCAAAAGAGCCCCCCAGACACGUCAUUCAGCUCAGAGUAAGACCCCAGGUUUGAGGCAAGGCAGUACAGCUUGCACUCUUUCUACUGUGUGGCUGUCUGCUUUGUGCUCCUUGGCACUCUGCUCCAUCCCCACCUGACUCUCCUUCACCAGCAAGAAACUGGGAAAGAAAAUUGCCCCUCUUGAGUUGAUCACUCAUAUGUAAACUGCCCACCCCACUGCAGUUAACACCCUGGGUUGGGUUUGCAAUGGUUGGGGGAAUCCCAGGGCAUCAGAAGGAAGUUUGGAGGACAUGUGGCGGUGGUCUAAUCAUUAGCAGGAUUCUGCAGGAAACGACAAGUUUAAGGAGCCAGAUAGCUCAUGGCCAAGAGGAGAGUCACAGAAAGAUGAUGGCGCCAACUUGGGCCAGCCCUGUACUAUAGGAGUUUGACAAAGGGGUCUAUAGACACCAGGCCAGGGGUACUCCAGUGUGCUCCACAUAACAGCACCUGGACACAAACCAAGCCCCUACUGCAACAAGGCAUGCUCAGAAAUUGACAGUGAGUGUCUAGAAACUGCUAUGGAAACAGGACGUCGUAAUUUUAUGUCUGUUGAAUCUAACAAGAAAAAAAUAGAGCUUACCUUUUGCAAGACUUAGAGUUUUAAAUUUUCAUCUCUCUAGGAAUUGUCAGUGUAUUUGGCUAAAUACCAGUCUGUGAGGAAUUGGAAAUGAAAGUUCACACACACACCCACACACACACACACACAGAGGCAUGCACACCUGCACAUACCUACACACACAUGGGCACCAAGCCCAGGUCCCUGGACUAGAUCAUAACACUCUCCACAAUGCAGUUAGAAUCCCUGUCCCAUCCUCUGUGACUGCAAAUGCUAAUGCCCUGCAAAUGACAGACUUUCCCAAAGAGGCUGAAGGCCAGAAGGUAAAAUAGAACCAAACUUCACUGAGUUUGUUUCACUUUGAAGACCAGAGAUGGUAAGGGGACAGCAUUGUUUUUUUUUGUUUUGUUUUUUGUUUUUUUUUUUUUGGAGGGGGGUUUGCCAAAUCCCGCUGCAAAAC